GUGGGGAAUAUUGGACAAUGGGCGAAAGCCUGAUCCAGCCGUGCCGCGUGUGUGAAGAAGGUCUUCGGAUUGUAAAGCACUUUAAGUUGGGAGGAAGGGUAGUAACCUAAUACGUUGCUACUUUGACGUUACCGACAGAAUAAGCACCGGCUAACUUCGUGCCAGCAGCCGCGGUAAUACGAAGGGUGCAAGCGUUAAUCGGAAUUACUGGGCGUAAAGCGCGCGUAGGUGGUUCGUUAAGUUGGAUGUGAAAGCCCCGGGCUCAACCUGGGAACUGCAUCCAAAACUGGCGAGCUAGAGUACGGUAGAGGGUGGUGGAAUUUCCUGUGUAGCGGUGAAAUGCGUAGAUAUAGGAAGGAACACCAGUGGCGGAGGCGACCACCUGGACUGAUACUGACACUGAGGUGCGAAAGCGUGGGGAGCAAACAGGAUUAGAAACCCCUGUAGUCC
rnacentral:rRNA from 1 species